AGAUUGAACGCUGGCGGCGUGCCUAACACAUGCAAGUCGAGCGGUAACAGGUGUAGCAAUACAUGCUGACGAGCGGCGAACGGGUGAGUAAUGCUUCGGAAUCUACCUUAUGGUGGGGAAUAACUAGCCGAAAGGUUAGCUAAUACCGCAUACGUCCUACGGGAGAAAGCAGGGGAUCGCAAGACCUUGCGACCAAAAAGAUGAGCCGAAGUCGGAUUAGCUAGUUGGUAGGGUAACGGCCUAACCGAAGGCGACGAUCCGUAGCGUGGUCUGGAGAGGACGACCAGCCACACUGGAACUGAGACACGGUCCAGACGUCCUACGGGAGGCAGCGAGGUGGGGAAUAGUUAGGACGAAGUAGGGGGAAACCUGAUCCAGCGACGCCGCGUGUGUAGGAAGAACGGCCGUGGCGGGUUAGUAAAGC
rnacentral:rRNA from 1 species